GACGAACGCUGGCGGCGUGCUUAACACAUGCAAGUCGAACGAGAAGAGGGAAAGCUUGCUUUCGAAAGUCGAGUGGCAAACGGGUGAGUAACGCGUAGACAACCUGCCUUUGAGAUGGGGACAACAGUUCGAAAGGACUGCUAAUACCGAAUGUUGUAUAUUUUCCACAUGGAAGAUAUAUUAAAGAUGGCCUCUAUUUAUAAGCUAUCGCUCAAAGAUGGGUCUGCGUCUGAUUAGCUAGUUGGUGGGGUAACGGCCUACCAAGGCGACGAUCAGUAGACGGUCUGAGAGGAUGAACGGCCACAUUGGGACUGAGACACGGCCCAGACUCCUACGGGAGGCAGCAGUGGGGAAUCUUCCACAAUGGACGAAAGUCUGAUGGAGCAACGCCGCGUGAGUGAAGAAGGGUUUCGGCUCGUAAAGCUCUGUUGUCGGGGACGAAUGUGCAUUACUUGAAUAAAGUAGUGUAAUGACGGUACCUGACGAGGAAGCCACGGCUAACUACGUGCCAGCCGCCGCGGUAA
rnacentral:rRNA from 1 species